UCGGUCUCCGCGGCCGUCGCGGCCCACGCCGUGCUCCGCCUCUCGCCGCAGAUCCCGGUCCUGAGGUGCGGCGACGGCAGCAGGCAUCCGGAGGCCCCAUCUGAAUCCGCCCUUCCCAUCCCGAUCCGCAUCGCCGCUGCCCCGGUCCGCUCCGUCCCCUUCAUCGUCCGCUGCUCCUUUCCUGCGUCGGCGUCUUCACUUCUCAGUCCUGGCGUCGCAGCUGCCCCAGCCGUCGAUCUGCCAUCCCCGACUGUGCGCUGCAACCCUAACCCCAACUCCAAGGCCGCCGCCGCCUUCCGCAAGCGCCAUGGCAGAUCUCGUGCCCUUGCCCAUCCCACUCCAUCCCUGCAGUCCUCCGCGAAUGACAAUAUUGGAUCCCACGCCCAUCACAGGUUCCAUGGCUCCAAACUUCCCCUAGGCCUACUUGCCCUGGGUCUAAAAGACGGUGCCUUUGUUGUGUGAUCCGCAGGUUCUUGCGGAAGGCAUGGAAACCUACUUCUUUUCUCAGUGUUAGGACAUCCCUUGCUGUUCCAUGGCCCCUCAUCAGAUAUGAAUCAUAAAGACACCAUCUUUGGGUGAAAUAUGAGAGGUAGCUUCUCAUUACCAAGGGGUGGGGAUCGUCACUUGAAAAGGGGUGGAAUUUCAAGUGCCAAAAACUUCAACACAGGUUAAUUCUUUUCAGUAUGCUAUUCCUUGAUCUCAUAAAUGCUUGAAAGAUUCAAGUUCUGCCAUGUAAACUUAUCAGCAUUUAACAUUGUUGUUUGGUUUGGUUAUGCUUUCUGUGAACAGAAUCAGAGAUUUCCUUCCCUAAUUAAAUAAGACUUAACAAAGCUCUAUGUAUCUUGUUACAGAAGGCCAUGUAACUAAAUCAGUGUCAAAUAUAGCUACUUAGUAAAGUCAGUGCAAUUGUGCAAAUAGCUUGAAUAAUGACCUCUUAUUUAAUAAUAAAUGCUUUUGGCAAGGGAAAGCAAAAUCGCUGGUGAACAAUUAAGAAUAGUAUUGAGGAUCAGUCUUUAAAUGAAGCAUAACCCAUUCCAUUAUUGAUCAUGUGCAUUCGAAGCACCCAAAGCUUUACUCAUGUUGCCUCCUCCAUCACUCCAUCAAUUUGUAGUCUCAAAUCAUGUGUGUUGUUUGUUAGGGUAAUAACUAAGUGGUGAGAUGGGAUUGUCAUGAGUGGUAAAUUAGUGCUGAAUUUAUACAGAUUUCUCAUUUUGCACCGCUUGAAAUAAGCAAACACCAGUCAUAACCUCCUGGAAUCCCAGUUAGUACAGUAGGAUAGAUAUAAUCUGUGGAUUAUCAAUGUAUAUUCAGACAUCCAAGUAAACUUCUCUAUUGCAAUGACUGACAAGUCAUUAUCUCUACUACUAAAAAAACUCUAAGCGGGACGCAAUCAUCUGUUGUGUGUCGCCGAGGUGCGAACGCCCCACUAAUCAGUCUUGGUUCAGCCGCUAACCUUCCUGGUUCGUCCGAUCGGGUUCGUCCAGCCGCUAAGCUCCAUGAUUCGUCUGAUCGCAGUGUCUUCCAUCGUGCGUGCCUUCCGCCUCGCAAUCCUCAGAUUUCUCUCAUCAGAUUUGCCUUUCCUUUUCGUGAGCUGCGUUCCACAGUCGUGAUCUGCCGCCCUCCAGCUCGUCCAACUUCGCACCCCACGCGGUCGCCGCUGGCCCGCUCCAUCCGCUGCACGUCCAUCUUUGCUGUUCUUCAACUAAUUGACUGAUCAUUAAAUAUAAUGAGAAUUUAUUUAUAAUAUGAGUCAAGUGUAGAAAAUUGCUAUCAUGCUUUGCCAUAUCUCAUCCAAGUAGAAAUAAGAUUGUGCUUGAAACUUAGUACGUAGCAAAUCAUUUGUCUAUUGCAUAAUCAAUUGAAAAGAAUAUAUUUGGUUGCAGAUUAUGGAAAGUUCAACUUUCAGUUCUACUUCACUUAUGGUCAUUGGUGUCGUGCCCAUAGACGACACAAGCUUGAGCAUGAGUAGCUGGAAGCCGAGAUUCAAACGCGUGGUUGUCGGCGCUGGAGGUAAGCAUCUUAUGGGAACGUGGCUGCUAUAGAUGCACGACAUAACAAAAGCUGAGCUCGAGGGAAGAGCAUUUUAAGCCUAAUAAAAAUGUAGCAAAUUUUUACUAUGAAAUGUCCAUUGUUGUUAUUAAAUAAAGUUAAAGUUUAGUUUCAUAGUUAAUUUUAUUACUUCUCUCAAUAUCUUCAUGAUUACAAUUAAUAUAUGUUUUUGUUUGCUUCAUUACUUUUUA